rnacentral:rRNA from 1 species
GACGAACGCUGGCGGCGUGCUUAACACAUGCAAGUCGAACGGUGAUGCUCCAGCUUGCUGGAGUGGAUCAGUGGCGAACGGGUGAGUAACACGUGAGCAACCUGCCCCAGACUCUGGAAUAAGCGCUGGAAACGGCGUCUAAUACUGGAUACGAAACUGGCCCGCAUGGGCAUGGUUUGGAAAGUUUUUCGGUUUGGGAUGGGCUCGCGGCCUAUCAGCUUGUUGGUGAGGUAAUGGCUCACCAAGGCGACGACGGGUAGCCGGCCUGAGAGGGCGACCGGCCACACUGGGACUGAGAAACGGCCCAGACUCCUACGGGAGGCAGCAGUGGGGAAUAUUGCACAAUGGGCGAAAGCCUGAUGCAGCGACGCCGCGUGAGGGAUGACGGCCUUCGGGUUGUAAACCUCUUUCAGCAGGGAAGAAGCGAAAGUGACGGUACCUGCAGAAGAAGCACCGGCUAACUACGUG